rnacentral:rRNA from 1 species
UACGGGGGGGGCGAGCGUUGUUCGGAAUUACUGGGCGUAAAGGGUUUGUAGGUGGUCUGCUAAGUCAGACGUGAAAUCCCUCAGCUUAACUGGGGAACUGCGUCUGAUACUGGCGGACUUGAGGACAGGAGAGGAUCGCGGAAUUCCCGGUGUAGAGGUGAAAUUCGUAGAUAUCGGGAGGAACACCAGUGGCGAAGGCGGCGAUCUGGGAAGAUACUGACGCUGAGGUGCGAAAGCGUGGGGAGCAAACAGG